rnacentral:rRNA from 1 species
UACGGAGGAUGCGAGCGUUGUCCGGAUUUAUUGGGCGUAAAGCGAGCGCAGGUGGUUUAUUAAGUCUGGUGUAAAAGGCAGUGGCUCAACCAUUGUAUGCACUCAAAACUGCAGCUCUUGAGUGAAGUAGAGGCAGGCGGAAUUCCUAGUGUAGCGGUGAAAUGCGUAGAUAUUAGGAGGAACACCAGUGGCGAAGGCGGCCUGCUGGGCUUUUACUGACGCUGAGGCUCGAAAGUGUGGGGAGCAAACAGG